UACGUAGGCAGCGAGCGUUGUUCGGAGUUACUGGGCGUAAAGGGUGUGUAGGCGGUUGUUUAAGUUUGGUGUGAAAUCUCCCGGCUCAACUGGGAGGGUGCGCCGAAUACUGAAUGACUUGGAGUGCGGGAGAGGAAAGUGGAAUUCCUGGUGUAGCGGUGAAAUGCGUAGAUAUCAGGAGGAACACCGGUGGCGAAGGCGGGUCUCUGGACAGUUCCUGACACUGAGGCACGAAGGCCAGGGGAGCAAACGGG
rnacentral:rRNA from 1 species